GAUGAACGCUAGCGGCAGGCCUAACACAUGCAAGUCGAGGGGCAGCAUAAAAUAAACUUGUUUAUUUGGUGGCGACCGGCGCACGGGUGCGUAACGCGUAUGCAACCUACCUUACACAGGGGGAUAGCCCGGAGAAUUUCGGAUUAAUAACCCAUAGCACUAGCGGAUGGCAUCAUUUGAUAUUUAAAGCUUUUACGGUGGAAUAUGGGCAUGCGUCCUAUUUGCUAGUUGGUGAGGUAACGGCGCACCAAGGCUACGAGAGGUAGGGGGCCUGAGAGGGUGGUCCCCCACACUGGUACUGAGACACGGACCAGACUCCUACGGGAGGCAGCAGUGAGGAAUAUUGGUCAAUGGGCGCAAGCCUGAACCAGCCAUGCCGCGUGAAGGAUGAAGGUUCUAUGGAUUGUAAACUUCUUUUAUUUGGGAAUAAACCCCUUUACGUGUAGAGGGCUGAAGGUACCAAAUGAAUAAGCACCGGCUAACUCCGUGCCAGCAGCCGCCGUAAUAC
rnacentral:rRNA from 1 species